rnacentral:rRNA from 10 species
UCGUAGUGACCUGCGGAGGAUCAUUA